ACAGUGGAGGAGAAGGCCCCAGAAACCUCCCUCCCUCUCCACCCAGCUUCCUGCUGCUAAAAAAAUGGACACAGGCCUGUCUCUGACACUUCAGUGACCACCAGGCAGUGCAUGGCCUGGCCCUCGAGCCAGUCCAGGCUGCUGCCUGCAGAGCCCGGAGUAGGGCUCACACCCCCACAUGGGCCAGCAAUGGGCCCGCCAUUGCGCUGGGGGCCCAGGGCAGAGACGGCCCAGCAGCCAGAGGCCCCCAGCCCUCCUCACAAGACCCCCAGGAGUGUCCCGGGCCUGCCGUCAUGUUGGGGUGGGGCUCACAAGGCUUAGCGGCCAGCCAGGCCGCAGGGCAGCAUUCCUGGAAGCCCGCUGGAGUCGCCCGGCUGAGAGGAAGAGCCCAGUCUCUGUCCCCGCCUGCACCAGGCCUCAGUUUCCCCACCAGUCAGAAGGCAGAGACACCUCCUUUCCAGUGAGAGCUUAGCCUGAGGCCCAGGGACUCCUCUCAAGGUGGCCCACAGGCAGGUUCUCCAGCCUCAGGUCCAAUGACCAACUCAUGCCCAGGGCAGGCCCAGUGUGGGGCUUGGGCGCCGAGGGAGGGACCGCACACCUUGAGCUCCUGCCGAGUCCAGAGAAUGGAGGAAGUGGCCAGUGAGGGCCCAACUUACUGGUGGGCCUCUCUGAGCCCAGCAUCCUCUUCUGAAAUGGGGGCGUGAUGUUCCUGCCUCCCAGGCAGUUCUGCAGACCAGCCCUGCGAGGAGUGCAGUCAGCUCCUGCGCGUGCCCGGUCCCCACUCAUAUUCCCACCUGCCUCCAGUGUGGCUGCGAAGUCAGAGGGAGGAGAGAGCCAGCCAGGGGUGUGGGCGCCGAGAUCAGAGACUCGCACGCUGCUGGAGGGAAUGUGAACCGGCCCAGCUGCUGGGUCACCUGCCGGCAGCUCCCGAAACAACCAGUCACCACGAGACCCAGCAACUCCACCCCUAGGUGUGCGCCCAAGAGAAACGGAAGCUCCUGUCCGCACAAACACCCAUGCGGCUUCCUUCACUAAGGAUGGAAACGGCCCGGGUGCCUAUGGGUGGGUGACGGAUGAACCGGGUAGACCGUCUGUACAAUGGAAUAUUUAUCCUUCCGCCACAUAAACAGAAGAAAUUCGGACGCAGGCUUCAGUACGGACAGGGUUUCAAGUUGUGAUGUGUACGCCACAGUCCGUGUGUGAUUCCAUUCCCGAGAAGCCCAGCGCUGGCCAGCCCCUGGGAACAGAAGGUGGCUGAGUGGGUCUUUAUGGCUGGGGGGCUGGGGCUGGGGUGAUGACGUUUAUUUUUGAUGAAAAUGUUCUGGGCCAGGCUUUGUGGUGGCUCACAACAAAGUGAUCCCAGCACUUUGGGAGGCCAAGGCGGGCGGAUCACCUGAGGUCAGAAGUUCAAGAUCAGCCUGGCCAACAUGGUGAAACCCCAUCUCUACUAGAAAUACAAAAAUUAGCUGGGCGUGGUGGUAGCACGUGCCUGUAAUCCCAGCUACUCGGGAGGCCGAGGCAGGAGAAUUGCUUGAACCCGGGAGGCAGAGAUUGCACUGAACCGAGAUCGCGCCACUGCACUCCAGCCUGGGCGACAGAACGAGACUCCGUCUCAAAAAGAAAAAAGAAAACGUCCUGAAUGGACGGUGGUGACGGCCGCACGUAGCUGAACGUACUGGAGACGGUGGAAUCGCCACUGUCGGUGGAGAAAUUCAUGGAGCGUGAAUUACGGCCGACCCCGGAAAAACGCGGGUUUGAACUUCAGGGUCACCUGCACGUGGAUUUUCUCCUGCCUCUGCCACUCCUGGGUCAGCAAGACCAGCCCCGCCUCUUCCUUCUCCUCCUCAGCCUCCUCAGCGUGAAAAAGACCAGGAUGAAGACCUUUAGGGUGAUCCGCUUCCACGUGGAGACGAGGAAAUGCAUCCUCUCUUCCUUAGGAUUUUCCGAAUGGCAUUUUCUUUUCUCUGGCUUACUGUAUUGUAAGAACACACUAUAUCACACAUUCACGAUACAAAAACGUGCGUCCACUGUUUAUGUUAUUGGUAAAGCUUCUGGUCAAUAGUAGCCUAUGAGUAGUUAAGUUUCGGGGCAAUCAAGAGUUAUACUUGGGUCUGGCGCGGUGGCUCACGCCUGUAAUCCCAGCACUUUGGGAGGCCGAGGCGGGCGGAUCACGAGGUCAGGAGAUCGAGACCAUCCUGGCUAACACGGUGAAACCCCGUCUCUACUAAAAAUACAAAAAAUUAGCCGGGCAUGGUGGCGGGCGCCUGUAGUCCCAGCUACUCAGGAGACUGAGGCAGGAGAAUGAUGUGAACCCAGGAGGCGGAGCUUGCAGUGAGCUGAGAUCCCACCACUGCACUCCAGCCUGGGCAACAGAGUGAGACUCCAUCUCAAAAAAAAAAUAAAUAAAUAAAUAUAGAAACCCCAGCACUUUGGGA